UACGUAGGGGGCAAGCGUUGUCCGGAAUCAUUGGGCGUAAAGAGCGUGUAGGCGGCCCGGUAAGUCCGCUGUGAAAGUCCAGGGCUCAACCCUGGAAUGCCGGUGGAAACUGUCGGGCUAGAGUCCGGAAGAGGAGAAUGGAAUUCCCGGUGUAGCGGUGAAAUGCGCAGAUAUCGGGAAGAACACCCGUGGCGAAGGCGGUUCUCUGGGACGGUACUGACGCUGAGACGCGAAAGCGUGGGGAGCGAACAGG
rnacentral:rRNA from 1 species